rnacentral:rRNA from 1 species
GAUGAACGCUGGCGGCGUGCCUAAUACAUGCAAGUCGAGCGAACAGAUAAGGAGCUUGCUCCUUUGACGUUAGCGGCGGACGGGUGAGUAACACGUGGAUAACCUACCUAUAAGACUGUGAUAACUUCGGGAAACCGGAGCUAAUACCGGAUAACAUAUUGAACCGCAUGGUUCAAUAGUGAAAGGCGGCUUUGCUGUCACUUAUAGAUGGAUCCGCGCCGUAUUAGCUAGUUGGUAAGGUAACGGCUUACCAAGGCAACGAUACGUAGCCGACCUGAGAGGGUGAUCGGCCACAAUGGAACUGAGACACGGUCCAGACUCCUACGGGAGGCAGCAGUAGGGAAUCUUCCGCAAUGGGCGAAAGCCUGACGGAGCAACGCCGCGUGAGUGAUGAAGGUCUUCGGAUCGUAAAACUCUGUUAUCAGGGAAGAACAAAUGUGUAAGUAACUGUGCACAUCUUGACGGUACCUGAUCAGAAAGCCACGGCCAACUACGUGCCAGCCGCCGCGGUAA